rfam:Lasius niger Lnig_2.1_8490, whole genome shotgun sequence.
AAAAAGGCCCUUUUCAGGGCCAUACAAAUCAAUGAGAGAAUUUUUUU